rnacentral:misc_RNA from 1 species
UUACGACAAGCAUGGGUUGAUGAGGAAUUGUAAACAAAUAUAUCUUCGUUACAGUUCUCUAAUGAUAAUUAACAGUUUUCUAAAGCUGUGCCUGUUUUAGUUACAUGAAGUGAUAUUGGUACACGUGCUGUAUUAAUCGAAUAUGUAUUUGGAACGCAAUGCUUACGUUAUGUCUUCACGAAACCAACAUGUUUAGCACAUUCAAAGCUCUGUCAAACUUGUUCUUCAAAAUGCUCAGUAAAUUGUACGUGAAGAAGCGUCUGUCAAUUGUAACCAGAAUGCGUGUUUAAUAGUCUGACAUAUAUAAUAUAAUCGAUACACCGUAAGCGUUAUCGAUUUGAAGGAGCUGGUUACGUGAUAAAACGCAAGUCUUCUGCAUAUCUUGCUUACAAAGUUAAACCUCCAGGUGACACACCAUAGUGCGUUGCCAUAACAUAUACCCCUCCAUGUAACAACGAUACACGCCUAUCAUCGGACAUCCUGUAGUAACACCACUGUCACCACUGUAGGCAACCAGACUCACCACAAUAGACAGAGAGUCACCCCGCGGGACAAGACAUUGCACACUUCAACCAUGUCACACAGAGAGAUACUACAACGUAAUCAUGUGUACCUGAAGGAACAACUGGAUGUGGCAAAGAUUCUGGAUGAACUGUAUCAACGGCAGGUGUUCAGCCUUAUGGAUAAAGAAAGGUGCAUAGGUAAACAUGGACUAGCUGCCCAGAGCGAUGAACUGUUGUGCAUCCUGCCUAGGAAAGGUAAAAAGGGAUACGACACCUUCCUUCAGAUACUGGAAACGGUUCAGCCCUACAUAAAAGAUCAUCUCGAAGGGCAGGACUCAAGCGAUUCACAUACUGCCAGUGCUCCAGACAAACAGCUGGUGGAUCAGCUGGAGCGCCUAAAAAUGGAAAACGAAAAGUCAAGAAUGGAGGCAGCCCGACGUGAGAAGUUUCUUAGACAGGUCGAAAAAGAGAAUGAGAUGUUAAAGAAGCAACUACUUCAGAAGAAUCAAGGGGCAGCAGAGAGUGACAGAACAAGAAUUCCCUGAUUCAAGGUUGGACACAGGUAUUUCACAUGACGUCGCUUAUCAUACGCUGAUGUUUCCAGGACAAAACAUCUCUCUACAGUGCCCUCAACUACAAAUGGACGCUGCACGAGCCAACCCAGACAUGUGCCACGUAACUUCAGACGGUGAGCUGGUCAACUCGCCGUCCGCCACAGAAGACAGCGCCAGGGACAAGUUACGGAAAUAUGAGGGAACAUGUGCCUCCACCCCCAUCCCCCUUCCUCCAUGCCCCUCUACUGUCACCCCUGCCCCCCACACACCACAAUAUUGGGAGACCCACUCUAGGGUGGGUGUGGCGCGUGAAGGGUGGUUGUGGCCUGUCCUGGAGGUGGGUGUGGUGGAGGAGAGCCGGGUAGACAGUGAGGGGUAUGUUUGGCUACAGCCCCGCUCCUGGUGUGUCAGUGUAGGGAGCUGUGACACACACCAGGGGAGUCUCUGUACCAGGGUGUAUCACCAGAGAAAGGAGGGAUGUGUCACAGUAACACAAUGUCUGACACACCCGGCACACAGGCCACCCUCCACUAUGGCGUUGUGCUGGAUGUGGGGAGGGGGAGACUCGCCUUCAUUGACCUCAACAGAGAGGUUGUUUUAGCCAAGGUGGAUGUUGAGUGGAGCGAGUCUCUUCUUCCCAUGUUUAGUGUUGGGCGGCCAGAUGACUUUACAGUCAACAUGAAGGUGAUAAGUGGCGCAGAUAUCACCAUGACUGACACCAAGAAGUCACUUAUUUAUGACGCCUUGAAUUAGACAAUAAAAUAAACAUGACAUUGUGUAAACUUGUAA